UAGCAUGGCUAUAAUUGUAAUAAUUAUUACAAAAAUCGAUUAACUCGAAUAAAAUUCUAGAUAGAAUUAUGAUAAUGACAUUGUCUAUCUACGUGUCUUGACCAUUCUACGUGCCAGCAGUCGCGGUAAUACGUGGGAGGCUAGUGUUAUUCAUCUUGAAUGGGUUUAAAGCGUUCCUAGACGGUUAAUUAAGGCUUUUAUACUGGAAGGUUAUUAGUAAACUAAUUAAACUAGAGUUACAUGUAAGGGUGAAUUAAAGUACUACUGGGUGUAGAGAUGAAAUUCAUUGAUACGAGUGUGUUGCACGGCACAGGUAAUGGCGAAAGCAUCAUCUUAUGUAAUAACUGACGUUGAAGGACGAAGGCUCUCUAAUAACAAAAAGGAUUAGGUACCCAAGUGAGUUUGGAGCAGAAAAUUAUGAAUGUCAUAGAUUAGAUGUAAAUUUGGUCUAUAAAUGAAAGUGUAAGCAUUCCACCUCAAGAGUAAUUUGGCAACAUUGGAACUGAAAUCAUUAGUCCGUUUCUGAUACAAGUAGUGAAGUAUGUUGUUUAAUUUGAUAAUCCGCAAAAAACCUUACCACAACUUGAAUAUAAAAUUUAUAUUUUUUACAAGUGUUGCACGGCUGUUUUAAGUUAAUAUCGUGAGA
rnacentral:rRNA from 1 species